rnacentral:rRNA from 1 species
AACGAACGCUGGCGGCAUGCCUAACACAUGCAAGUCGAACGAAACGUUCGGGUUUUGUGGCGCAGGGCUGCGUACCACGUGGUGACUUACCCUUGGGUUCGGAGUACCUCCCCGAGAGAGGUGCUCAUACCGCUUAAUGUCAUCGCACCUAAGAUUUCUUGCUUUUGGAUGGGGCCGCGUUGGAUUAGGUGGUUGGUAGGGUAAAAGCGUGCCAAGGGGACGAUGCUUAGCUGGUCUGAUAGGAGGAUUAGCCACGCUGGGAGUGCGGCACGGCCCAGCCUCCUACGGGAGGGAGCAGUAGGGAAUAUUGUAGAAUGGGCGAAAGCGUAAUCAAGCAAUGCCGCGUGAGUGAUGAAGGCCGUAGGGUUGUAAAGCCCUUUUAGCCGGGGUGAGAAUGACAGUACUGGGAGAAGAAGCUCCGGCUAACUCCGUG